rnacentral:rRNA from 1 species
GCCUAACACAUGCAAGUCGAGCGGGCGUCCUUCGGGGCGUCAGCGGCGGACGGGUUAGUAACGCGUGGGAACGUGCCUUCUGCUCUGGAAUAGCCCUGGGAAACUGGGGGUAAUACCGGAUGUGCCCUGAGGGGGAAAGGUUUACUGGCAGGAGAUCGGCCCGCGUCUGAUUAGGUAGUUGGUGUGGUAACGGCGCACCAAGCCGACGAUCGGUAGCUGGUUUGAGAGGAUGAUCAGCAACACUGGGACUGAGACACGGCCCAGACUCCUACGGGAGGCAGCAGUGGGGAAUCUUAGACAAUGGGGGCAACCCUGAUCUAGCCAUGCCGCGUGGGUGAUGAAGGCCUUAGGGUCGUAAAGCCCUUUCGCUGGGGAAGAUAAUGACGGUACCCAGUAAAGAAGCCCCGGCUAACUCUGUGCCAGCAGCCGCGGUAAU